rnacentral:rRNA from 1 species
UGACGUUAAAGGACCAACGGGGGGACACCAAUGCCCCGGGAAUUGGGGGGCCUUCCGGGUUGUAAACUUCUUUUAUGGGGGUGAAAGCUGGGAUUUCUAUUUCAGCCGACGGUACCCGAUGAAUAAGCACCGGCUAACUCCGUGCCAGCAGCCGCGGUAAUACGGAGGGUGCAAGCGUUAUCCGGAUUUACUGGGUUUAAAGGGUGUGUAGGCGGGCCGUUAAGUCAGGGGUGAAAUCCCGGAGCUCAACUCCGGAACUGCCUUUGAUACUAUCGGUCUUGAAUCUUGUUGAGGUGGGCGGAACGGGUCAUGUAGCGGUGAAAUGCAUAGAUAUGACCCGGAACACCGAUUGCGAAGGCAGCCCGCUAAGCAAGCAUUGACGCUGAGGCACGAAAGCGUGGGGAUCAAACAGGAUUAGAUACCCUGGUAGUCCACGCCCUAAACGAUGAUUACUCGACGUUGGCGAUACACUGAUCAGCGUCCAAGCGAAAGCAUUAAGUAAUCCACCUGGGAAGUACGAUCGCAAGAUUGAAACUCAAAGGAAUUGACGGAGC